rnacentral:lncRNA from 1 species
GGGAUGGUUUGGUCCCCUCAGGGAGAGAGAGGCAAAGAAGCAAAGCUGCACAAACAUUCUGUAAACACGGCUUAGAGUUCUAUCCUCUCCAAAAGUUCAAAGGGGAGAGCGAUGGGGCAGAGUCAAUGGAAUCUGCCACUCGGGGAGGCACAGGCAACCUCCCUGUGCCUCCUCAACUGAGUCGAAAGUCAGACUCGACUCUAUAAUAAUAAUUAUAAUAAUAAUAAUAACAACCGUGGUAAGGAUCGAGUCCUCCUCGCCACCGGCGCCGCUGGGGUGGGGCCAGGGCCUAAGGCCUCCAGUCUUGGAGGGGCGGCGCUCACCAAGUCCACUGCUGGGCCUGGACCAGGGGGUGUGCUGUCGGGUACUGGGGGGUGCUGGCCGAGCUGUACUGGGCGUUGUACUGCAUGUGCUGCAGCGACUGCGCGCUGUAGGCGGAAAAGGGGAUGCCUGCCUGGAAGGUGGCGGCUGCCAGGUCCUGGGCUUUGAGCGCGUGGCACGGUUUGCCGUCCCUGACCAAGACCGGCACUGCCACACGGCGCGGCGAGGGCAGAGGCGUCACCUCCAUACCUUUCUCCGCCCGGGCACGUUUCAUCUUGUAGCGAUGGUUCUGGAACCAGAUCUUGACCUGUGUCGGCGUGAGACGGAUGAGGCUGGCCAGGUGCUCGCGCUCGGGCGCCGACAGGCAGAUUGGAAAGUUAAAGGUAGUAUCU